rnacentral:rRNA from 1 species
AUCGAACGCUGGCGGCAUGCCUUACACAUGCAAGUCGAACGGUAACAGGUCUUCGGAUGCUGACGAGUGGCGAACGGGUGAGUAAUACAUCGGAACGUGCCUAGUAGUGGGGGAUAACUACUCGAAAGAGUGGCUAAUACCGCAUGAGAUCUACGGAUGAAAGCAGGGGAUCGCAAGACCUUGUGCUACUAGAGCGGCCGGUGGCAGAUUAGGUAGUUGGUGGGAUAAAAGCUUACCAAGCCGACGAUCUGUAGCUGGGCUGAGAGGACGAUCGACCACACUGGGACUGAGACACGGCCCAGACUACUACGGGAGGCAGCAGUGGGGAAUUUUGGACAAUGGGCGCAAGCCUGAUCCAGCAAUGCCGCGUGCAGGAUGAAGGCCUUUGGGUUGUAAACUGCUUUUGUACGGAACGAAAAGCCCCGGGUUAAUACCCUGGGGUCAUGACGGUACCGUAAGAAUAAGCACCGGCUAACUACGUGCCAGCAGCCGCGGUAA